GUAUUUCAUUGCACACGCCAUUGCCGCUGUGAGAUAACCAUUGUAGAUGUAUAAGAAUGACAAUGAGUGAUCAUUUCGACAAUAUUCAACCAAAGUUAUGCCAACCACCUUAUAGUUAUCAUAAUCGCUGUAAUUAACAUUAGUGAUUGGCGAUUGACACCUUAGCUUCUCGUGAUGAAUUAAUCAAAGCACAUUUUAAUAAAUCAGAAAAAAAGAAUUAGGACGUAAAAAUUAAAGACUAAAUUUGAGACAAUUUCAAUGAGACAAUCAAAGGAGACAAAUCUACAUCUAUUCUCAAUGUAAGAUUUUGUUAGCGAGUAUGCCACUACAGUGCCUAAGUGGGGUAAACGUUUAACAAAGUUUGUAUUUCAUCG